rnacentral:rRNA from 1 species
UAUGGCUAAUACAUGCGCAAAUGCCUCCUUCUCUGGAGGGGCUGUGUUUAUUAGAUACAAAACCAACCCACUUCUGUGGAGUCCUGGUGAUUCAUAGUAACCGAACGGAUCGCAUUUGGCUUCGGCCCGCGAUAGAUCUUUCAAGUUUCUGACCUAUCAGCUUUCGACGGUAGGGUAUUGGCCUACCGUGGCAGUGACGGGUAACGGGGAAUUAGGGUUCGAUUCCGGAGAGGGAGCCUGAGAAACGGCUACCACAUCUAAGGAAGGCAGCAGGCGCGCAAAUUACCCAAUGAAAACAGUUUCGAGGUAGUGACGAGAAAUAACAAUACAGGGCAUUUUAUGCUCUGUAAUUGGAAUGAUGGGAAUGUAAAACCCUUCCAGAGUAACAAUUGGAGGGCAAGUCUGGUGCCAGCAGCCGCGGUAAUUCCAGCUCCAAUAGUGUAUAUUAGAGUUGUUGCAGUUAAAAAGCUCGUAGUUGGAUUUCUGCUGUGGUCAUCCGGUACCGCCCGUAUGGGUGCGCACCUGG